UACGUAGGGGGCGAGCGUUGUCCGGAUUUAUUGGGCGUAAAGAGCGUGUAGGCGGCCAGGUAGGUCUGCUGUGAAAACUCGAGGCUCAACCUCGAGACGUCGGCGGAAACCAUCUGGCUAGAGUCCGGAAGAGGAGAGUGGAAUUCCUGGUGUAGCGGUGAAAUGCGCAGAUAUCAGGAAGAACACCCGUGGCGAAGGCGGCUAUCUGGACGGUUUCUGACGCUAAGACGCGAAAGCGUGGGGAGCAAACAGG
rnacentral:rRNA from 1 species